UUUGGUAUUGCGAGAGGGCAGAAAUUUAUUUGCCUCACCACAUCAUUGUGGACUGGUGGCCAAAGGGGGUCCUGCUGGAGAUCUAUCUACACACAAUGGCCAACAAUGACCGAUGGAGUGGCUUGCAUAGUGAAUGAA
rnacentral:sRNA from 1 species